rnacentral:rRNA from 1 species
GAUGAACGCUGGCUGUGUGCCUAAUACAUGCAUGUCGAGCGAAGCACUUUUGUGCUUAGCGGCGAAUGGGUGAGUAACACGUACUUAACCUACCCUCAAGAUUGGGACAACACUUGGAAACGAGUGCUAAUACCAAAUACGUAUUUUUAUCGCAUGAUAGAUAUAUAAAAGGAGCUUCGGCUUCACUAGAGGAUGGGAGUGCGCUACAUUAGUUAGUUGGUAGGGUAAUGGCCUACCAAGACUAUGAUGUAUAGCGGGGCCGAGAGGCUGAUCCGCCACACUGGGACUGAGAUACGGCCCAGACUCCUACGGGAGGCAGCAGUAGGGAAUUUUCCACAAUGAACGAAAGUUUGAUGGAGCGACACAGCGUGCAGGAUGAAGGUCUUCGGAUUGUAAACUGCUGUUAUAAGAGAAGAAAAACCCUGGUAGGUAAUGACCAGGACUUGACGGUACCUUAUCAGAAAGCGACGGCUAACUAUGUGCCAGCAGCCGCGGUAAUACAUAGGUCGCAAGCGUUAUCCGGAAUUAUUGGGCGUAAAGAGUUCGUAGGUGGUUUUGUAAGUCUGAAGUUAAAUACCGGGGCUCAACCCCGGCCCGCUUUGGAUACUGCAAAACUAGAGUAAUAGAGAGGUUAGUGGAACUCCAAGUGAAGCGGUGGAAUGCGUAGAUAUUUGGAAGAACACCAAUGGCGAAGGCAACUAACUGGAUAUUAACUGACACUGAGGAACGAAAGCGUGGGUGGCAAACAGG